rnacentral:rRNA from 1 species
UACGAAGGGGGCUAGCGUUGCUCGGAAUCACUGGGCGUAAAGCGCACGUAGGCGGAUAUUUAAGUCGGUGGUGAAAUCCUGGAGCUCAACUCCAGAACUGCCUCCGAUACUGAAUGUCUUCGAGUCCGGGAGAGGUGAGUGGAACUGCGAGUGUAGAGGUGAAAUCGUAGAUAUUCGCAAGAACACCAGUGGCGAAGGCGGCUCACUGGCCCGGUACUGACGCUGAGGUGCGAAAGCGUGGGGAGCAAACAGG